CUGUGGAAUGCUUUCAACACCUUGUAGAGUCCAUUCCCCGAAGAAUUGAGGCUGUACUGAAGGCAAAAGGGGGUGCGGCUCAAUAUUAAGGUGUUCAUAAUGUUUUGUACACUCAGUGUAUGAAACCGGUAAAGCUAUAGCACACAUUGGACAUAAACAGUAAAGAUUGUUUGUAUGAUACUAUUAUGUGGACUACAUCGGUGUGAAGGCUAACACACAGGGAUUCCGAUGCCUUCCAGACAACAAUCUACGAUGGGGAAUUGAAGAGGCUCCUAUCAGGAACAUCAUCUGCAGCGGUUCCCAGG
rnacentral:lncRNA from 8 species